GCACUGGUGGUUUAGUGGUAAAAUUGGACAUUGCCAUGUUGUUGGUUACAGCUCUCGACGUUGUCUAGCCCCGGGUUCGAUUCCCGGCCAGUGCA
rnacentral:tRNA from 1 species